rnacentral:rRNA from 1 species
UACGAAGGGGGGCUAGCGUUGCUCGGAAUCACUGGGUGUAAAGCGCACGUAGGCGGACUCUUAAGUCGGGGGGUGAAAUCCUGGAGCUCAACUCCAGAACUGCCUUCGAUACUGGGAGUCUUGAGUUCGGGAGAGGUGAGUGGAACUGCGAGUGUAGAGGUGAAAUUCGUAGAUAUUCGCAAGAACACCGGUGGCGAAGGCGGGUCUCUGGGCCGAAAUUGACGCUGAGGAGCGAAAGCGUGGGGAGCAAACAGG